rnacentral:lncRNA from 1 species
AGUGUCAGUUGCUCGGCGGCGGCGGCCGUGGUCACCAGGAAGGGGACGGGACGGACGGUGAUGGUGGUCGCCGCGGCGGCGUGUGCGCCCCUCAGGAAAAGAAUACUUGAGAUCCAUUUGUAAGGAAAGAAAAGGAAGCAACAACAUAAUGCCCAGAGUUGGAGCCAAUUAAACCAGACGAGUCUCACUCUGUCGCCCAGGCUGGAGUGCGGUGGCGUGAUCUUGGCUCACUGCAACCUCUGCCUUCCGGGUUCGAGUAAUUCUCCUGCCUCAGCCUCCCAAGCAGCUGGGUCUACAGUAAACAUUGCUAUCUUCAGAAAUUAAGGAAUGAGAGGCAAGGAAGAAAGGACAUUCAUCUUGGAAAGACCCAAAGCACCUUGAAAUUUGGAAGGAAUGUUUUGCUAGCUGCUAAAACCACCUUUGUCACCAGAAUGAAUGAAGUGCUUCAGAUUUAAAUAAUUGAUCAUUCUUAGAAGAGCUGCUGUAACACAUAGGGGAAGUGAAAACUAACAGAUGAAAG